rnacentral:rRNA from 1 species
CCUGCCAGUAGUCAUAUGCUUGUCUUAAAGAUUAAGCCAUGCAUGUCUAAGUAUAAACAUUUUGAACGUGAGACGGCGGACGGCUCAUUAAAUCAGUCAUAGUUUACGCGAAAGAUUCAACAAUCGGAUAACUGUAGUAAUUCUAGAGCUAAUACGUGCACCAAUGCCCGCCCGCAAGGGAGGGGUAUUCAUCAGAUUCAAACCUACCAUAGCAAUAUGUUUCAAGGGGGAAACAUGAUGACUGAUCAGAUCGCACAGCCUUGAGCUGGCGACAUUUCGUUCAAAUGUCUGCCCUAUCAACUUUCGAUGGUGGUGUAGUGGACUACCAUGGUGACAACGGGUAACGGGGAAUUAGGGUUCGGUUCCGGAGAGGGGGCCUGAGAGAUGGCCACCACUUCCAAGGAAGGCAGCAGGCGCGCAAAUUACCCAAUAAUACCACAUUGAGGUAGUGACAAUAAAUAACAAUACAGGCCUUUCAAAAGGGCUUGUAAUUGGAAUGAGUGUAAUUUAAAUCCUUUUGCGAGGAACAAUUGGAGGACAAGUCAGGUGCCAGCACCCGCGGUAAUUCCUGCUCCAAUAGCGUAUAUUAAAGUUGUUGCAGUUAAAAAGCUCGUAGUCGGACUCCAGAACCUAGUGCGUUGUUGGUCUGCCGAGAUGGUGUGUACUAACCGUACGGUUCUUCUUUCCAGUUGUUGCUGGCUAAUCUUAACUGAUUGGCUUGUUAGCUCUGGAUCGUUUACCUUGAAAAAAUUAGAGUGUUUAAAGCAGGCUAUUAAUGCCUUGAAUAUUUCAGCAUGGGAUAAUAGAAUAGGACUAGUUCGCUAUUUUGUUGGUUUGGGCGAAACAGUAAUGAUUAACAGAGACAGUUGGGGGCGUUUAUAUUUAAUUGUCAGAGGUGAAAUUCUUGGAUUUAAUAAAGAUAAACUUAUGCGAAAGCAUUCGCCAAGGAUGUUUUCAUUGAUCAAGAACGAAAGUUAAGGGAUCGAAGACGAUCAGAUACCGUCGUAGUCUUAACUAUAAACGAU